rnacentral:rRNA from 1 species
GGGGCCCGCACAAGCGGUGGAGCAUGUGGUUUAAUUCGAUGCAACGCGAAGAACCUUACCUACUCUUGACAUCCAGCGAAGCCUUUAGAGAUAGAGGCGUGCCUUCGGGAGCGCUGAGACAGGUGCUGCAUGGCUGUCGUCAGCUCGUGUUGUGAAAUGUUGGGUUAAGUCCCGCAACGAGCGCAACCCUUAUCCUUGUUUGCCAGCACAUAAUGGUGGGAACUCCAGGGAGACUGCCGGUGAUAAACCGGAGGAAGGUGGGGACGACGUCAAGUCAUCAUGGCCCGUACGAGUAGGGCUACACACGUGCUACCAGGGCAGAUACAGAGGGCAGCGAGACAGCGAAGUUUAGCGAAUCCCUUAAAGUUUGUCGUAGUCCGGAUUGGAGUCUGCAACUCGACUCCAUGAAGUCGGAAUCGCUAGUAAUCGUGGAUCAGAAUGCCACGGUGAAUACGUUCCCGGGCCUUGUACACACCGCCCGUCACACCAUGGGAGUGGGCUGCACCAGAAGUAGAUAGCUUAACCUUCGGGAGGGCGUUUACCACGGUGUGGUUCAUGAC